UACAGAGGGUGCGAGCGUUAAUCGGAAUUAUUGGGCGUAAAGAGCUCGUAGGCGGCCAGUUGCGUCUGCUGUGAAAUCCCGGGGCUCAACCCCGGGCGUGCAGUGGAUACGGGCUGGCUAGAGGCAGGCAGGGGAGAACGGAAUUCCCGGUGUAGCGGUGAAAUGCGCAGAUAUCAGGAGGAACACCCAUGGCGAAGGCAGUAGACUGGGCAUCUCCUGACGCUGAGGCGCGAAAGCGUGGGUAGCAAACAGG
rnacentral:rRNA from 1 species